AUUAUUUUACGCUUCGGCUGGUUUUCUUGCAGAUGGAUGUUUGAAUGAAUCACUGAAACAUUCGUUAAAUAGAUAUCCCGACUUUAUUGUGGUACAAGUACGAACCAGAGAGGGGAUAUUCCAGGGACAAGGUUUAUCAUCCCUAGUGUUUUCGACAAGGAGAUAUCUUCACUUUGGGGGAUUACUCUAUGGAACAAAUGAGUCCCAUGUACAGCUGUGGUCGGCUUGUAACGUCAAUGGAAUGUUGCAACAUUACGGUUUGUUAUGUGUUGAUGAUGGAUGGGGGGAACGACACGUAUCUCUUCGCACUCGCCACGGGCAAGUUACGGUCACUGCAUGGACCUUUUAUAGAAAUGGGUCUGGCCUAAGGAAGACUCUGGCAGACAUUGACGCAGAGGACCACUUGGUUCUUGUUGCUGAUAACUUAACAGCAUACACUUUUGUUAACGUUCAGAUUCACGUGCAAAAUGGCACAAGCAGAGGUUUCCGGUUUGAUGGGGUCGGGUCUGUGAUGAAUGAAGCUGAACCAUAGGGGGGACUCGUGUACGGUUACAACGACUCUGUGGUUGCUAUCUGGGUACCCACCUCUUUAAAACGAAACAGCGGAAAUGCGGCUGUUUUUAUGUUGGGAAGAAUUUGGGGGUCAGGCUUCAAUGAAGAGAAGACAAACAACGUGGAAAUAAUCUUCAAUGUUAUGGAUAUAUUGAUGCCUGUCUGUUUGCUAGAAGUGAAUACUACAACAACAAGCUUAGUUGCUUCAUUCAGAUACGACAAAAUAAAUGAUUCAGUUUUAAAGUUUGCCGUUGGUGAUGAAAUCACCAUGCACUGUAACUAUGGUUACAAAGCAGUGCAUCCAAAUUUGACUAUAGUAUGCAAGGAUGAAAACAAUGGUAGUUGGAGCCAUGAUCCCAUAGAGUGUCAUGUUGAGUGUCCAAAUCCAGAGGUGAAUAACACCAAUGUAAUCACCAUGGAUAAUUCACCCGGUGGGUACGUAGUGAGCCUUACCUGCAAGGGCCGUCACAGACACAUCAGUGGGGAUUUAGAACGCACGUGCAAUAGGAAUGGAACGUGGACAGGUACACCACCUGUUUGUAAAGAAUGCAAGUGCCCUUGUUCGGCCAUAGGAUCAAUACCAAUCAAGUCAAACGAAACAAAGAAACUUGAACAACGAAUCAGAGAGCUACGAUCUUUGUUGACCGUACAGAAAAACAUGACUGCUAAAGCCAGACGACGAAAAGUAUGUGCCUCCGACCCGAGACCAUCUGCCCAAGGAGUAGGUGUAGUGAUGGGGGUUGGGGUUUUGGUGGUUAUUAUUUCAUCUAUUGUUAUCCUGGAUCUGCCUUCUUUGAUUUCUUCUUUCAAAUAGUAAAAUAAACUCUCUGCGUCAAUUUGUUACACCGUUUUAUUGAAGAUACACAAGGAGCCAUUACGGUAGAAUAUAUUUUUUCUUAAUUGCCUAUUUUGCCGAUUUAACAAGUGCUUGGACUUUAGGCAGUGUGUGUGUGUCAAACUCCAAUUUGACAAGGUGGUGUCUAUUCAUGGUUACUAGAAGUAAUAACUUUCAAUCAUUGGCUAUAAUAGAUAUGAAUACAUCAAAUGCAAUUUACGACACUUUGUUUGACUUCAUCUAGGGCUGUAAAUUCAUCUUGAAACAGCAUCAAUUUCACACAACAGAGCAGACCAGAAUAAAAAAAGACAUAUUUGAAAGCCUGUUUUGAUAAACGAACAUGAAUGUUACAUCCAACCAAAAAUUACAAGCGCUUGUUACCGGUGUUGUUUUAGUGUUUGUCUUUAUACACGUAUUGCUCUUAUUGUUUUUUUAGAUUGUUGUGAAUAAAAUGAUCUAUUACUUUUU
rnacentral:misc_RNA from 1 species